rnacentral:ncRNA from 2 species
UAAGGAGGGCGCGCCUCCGGUUCGCCCGCAUGGGCGUCGCAAGAGGGAAUCCGGUUCAACGCCGGAACUGCCCCGCAGCGGUGAGUGGUGACGAACGCCGUCAAUGGCACUGGCUCCGAAGAGCUGGGAAGCGACGGUCACUAGGUCGACCCACGAGUCCGAAGACCUGCCGAAGGUGCCCGCGCCCC